rnacentral:tRNA from 1 species
GGAUGGGUGGCAGAGCGGUUUAAUGCGCCGGUCUUGAAAACCGGAGUGGUCGAAAGGUCACCGUGGGUUCGAAUCCUACCCCAUCCG